AGCCUUUUGAAUUUAUAGAAGGUGAGUUCUGCCCAGUGAAAAUUUUAACGGCCGCGGUAUCUUGACCGUGCAAAGGUAGCAUAAUCAUUUGCCUCUUAAUUAGAGGCUGGAAUGAAUGGAUAUACGAGGUUUUAGCUGUCUCAUUUUUAAUAAUAAAAAUUAGUGUCUAGGUGAAGAAACCUAGAUUUUGAUGAAGGACAAAAAGACCCUAUUGAGCUUUAUUUUAACGUAAGAUUUUUGACUAACUUACUUUAUAAUGCUGAUAAAUUUGGUUGGGGCAACAAAGAAAUAUAAGUAUUUUUCUUUAAUAUUGAGAAAUAUGUUUCAUUUAUUAGAUCUAUAUUUAUGAUAAGAAGAAAGAGUUACCAUAGGGAUAACAGGCUAAUUCUUUUGUAGAGUUCAAAUUGAUAAAGGAGUUUGGCACCUCGAUGUUGGCUUAGGGUAUCCUAUAGGUGCAGAAGUCUAUAAGGGUUGGUUUGUUCAACCAUUAAAACCCU
rnacentral:rRNA from 1 species